rnacentral:rRNA from 1 species
UACGUAGGGGGCAAGCGUUGUUCGGAUUCAUUGGGCGUAAAGCGCGCGUAGGCGGCUCUGUAAGUCCGUUGUGAAAGUCAAAGGCUCAACCUUUGAAAGCCGAUGGAUACUGCAGAGCUAGAGUCCGGAAGAGGCGAGUGGAAUUCCUGGUGUAGCGGUGGAAUGCGCAGAUAUCAGGAGGAACACCAAUAGCGAAGGCAGCUCGCUGGGACGGUACUGACGCUAAGGCGCGAAAGCGUGGGGAGCGAACAGG